CAAGGAACAGCCGGCUGGGCGCCCGAUGCGUCACCAGUCUCGCCAUUUUCGAAGGCUCUGCUAUCGGCGCUGGUUUGGAAUCCGUUGGGCCACGUAUUGUACUCCCGCUGCAGAUGGUGACCUGUGGAACCCAGAGGAGUACCUUCUUGUUGAUCGCCACGUGUUGGGAGCGGCUAGAGAACGUCACUACAGUAUUCUGCAUGUUAUUCACCAGUUAUUUUUCCUUUCACGUCUGUUAUGCUGAAAGAUUGUAGUCUACUUUGGAAUUCGUUCAAAGGGCACUUUUGGUAUUAACCCAGACCAUGGAAGCAAGGCUGAGAAAAAAAGCAAGGAAAGAGAACCCAAAAAUAUUCAGUUUGACGAAAAAAUCAUGGAUUCUGAAUGGAAUGUUUACACAACUUCAGAGGAUGAUGGUGAAACAAAAAAAGUGAAGCACUAGGGUGGACCUAACAAGGAGUUGGAAGAAAACCUAAUGUUCAACUGAUUUUUCAACACCUAAAAAAGUACAAGAUGGAUCAAACUGUUACAGAGAUUAUGAUAAAGUUAUUUAUUGUGCCUGGAAUGGACAUAUGCCAAAUGCAGAAUCCAGGUGUGUGGAGAACUUUAAUAAAUAGCAGUAUUGCCCAUU
rnacentral:lncRNA from 1 species